rnacentral:rRNA from 1 species
UGGGGAAUUGUUCGCAAUGGGCGCAAGCCUGACGACGCAACGCCGCGUGGAGGAUGAAGACCUUCGGGUCGUAAACUCCUUUCGAUCGAGACGAAUGGUCUCCGGGUGAACAUCCUGGGGAAGUGACGGUACCGAGAGAAGAAGCCCCGGCUAACUCCGUGCCAGCAGCCGCGGUAAUACGGGGGGGGCAAGCGUUGUUCGGAAUUACUGGGCGUAAAGGGCUCGUAGGCGGCCAACUAAGUCAGACGUGAAAUCCCUCGGCUUAACCGGGGAACGGCGUCUGAUACUGGAUGGCUUGAGUUCGGGAGAGGGAUGCGGAAUUCCAGGUGUAGCGGUGAAAUGCGUAGAUAUCUGGAGGAACACCGGUGGCGAAGGCGGCAUCCUGGACCGAGACUGACGCUGAGGAGCGACAGCGUGGGGAGCAAACAG